CCUACGGGAGGCAGCAGUGAGGAAUAUUGGUCAAUGGGCGCUAGCCUGAACCAGCCAAGUAGCGUGAAGGAUGACGGCCCUAUGGGUUGUAAACUUCUUUUAUAUGGGAGUAAAGUGCAGUAUGUAUACUGCUUUGCAUGUACCUUAUGAAUAAGGAACGGCUAACUCCGGUCCAGCAGCCGCGGUUAUACGGAGGAGCCGAGCGUUAUCCGGAUUUAAUGGGUUUAAUGGGGGCGUAAGGGGGUUUGUAAGUCAGGCGUGAAAGUUUGCGGCUCAACCGUAAACUUGCAGUUGAUACUGGUAUCCUUGAGUGCAGGAGAGGUAUGCGGAAUUCGUGGUGUAGCGGUGAAAUGCUUAGAUAUCACGAAGAACUCCGAUUGCGAAGGCAGCCUGCUGGCCUGUAACUGACGCUGAUGCUCGAAAGUGUGGGUAUCAAACAGGAUUAGAUACCCCAGUAGUC
rnacentral:rRNA from 1 species